UACGGGGGGGGCAAGCGUUGUUCGGAUUUACUGGGCGUAAAGGGCGCGUAGGCGGCGCAACAAGUCACUUGUGAAAUCUCCGGGCUUAACCCGGAGCGGCCAAGUGAUACUGUCGUGCUAGAGUGCGGAAGGGGCUACUGGAAUUCUCGGUGUAGCGGUGAAAUGCGUAGAUAUCGAGAGGAACACCUGCGGCGAAGGCGGGUAGCUGGGCCGACACUGACGCUGAUGCGCGAAAGCCAGGGGAGCGAACGGG
rnacentral:rRNA from 1 species